GCGAACGCUGGCGGCAGGCCUAACACAUGCAAGUCGAACGGAUCCUUCGGGAUUAGUGGCGGACGGGUGAGUAACACGUGGGAACGUGCCUUUUGGUUCGGAAUAGCUCCUGGAAACGGGUGGUAAUGCCGAAUGUGCCCUUCGUGGGAAAGAUUUAUCGCCAUUAGAGCGGCCCGCGUCUGAUUAGCUAGUUGGUGAGGUAAAGGCUCACCAAGGCUACGAUCAGUAGCUGGUCUGAGAGGAUGACCAGCCACAUUGGGACUGAGACACGGCCCAAACUCCUACGGGAGGCAGCAGUGGGGAAUCUUGGACAAUGGGCGCAAGCCUGAUCCAGCCAUGCCGCGUGAGUGAUGAAGGCCUUCGGGUUGUAAAACUCUUUAGCCGAUGAAUAUAAUGACUGUAGUCGGAAAAUAAGCCCCGGCUAACUUCGU
rnacentral:rRNA from 1 species